rnacentral:ribozyme from 1 species
UCAAUGGGAAGGUAGAUUUGUUACAAAAUUAGAUUGAAAUUAUAAUAUGUUUAUAGUUCAUGUUUUUUCUUUACAUAGAAUC